CUCUAUUGUAAAAUUCUUUCAUGUCACGGCUUCAUAUAAGAACGCCUAUACGGUAUCAGGCAGCAUUGCCAAGGACAAAACGUUCUGCACUUUGCUUUACAUGCAUCCGGACACCUGGAGGACUUUCUUCCGGGAGUGUGCACCCUCGUGGGUAUAUAACUCCGAGGGUUAUUUCCCGUGGAGUACGUAGUUCGAUGCCUACAACAGUAAAACGGGCACUCCGCUUUGCAAGCAAACUGACACACUGCUGGGCAGGUUUGUGUAGUUUUAGGUUGCGGUAAUGUUACACGUGGUCUAACAGGAUUAGUGUUCGGUAUGAUGUUUCUUCUGUAAGGCAGUGUUGUAAUGGGUCUACCACGGGGGAUUUUUGGUAUUGCGCUCUUCCUAUAAGGCAGGUUACAGCAAUAAGGUGGGCACUGUGUGGUACAACGUGUUCUGCAUGUUGGAAGACAUGGGGUUGCUGGCAAUUGUCUAAUAUUUGGUCUAGUUUGUUUCUUUAUGCCUAAUUUGGCAUUUGCUUGAACGUUUGGAAUAAUAACUAAUUUUGAAGGAUAUUGGGAAGCGGCUGAUUGUCUUUGAUUUGAUGGUUGAGUUAGUCUUCGAUUUUGGGGCAAAUUUGUCGCAAGUUUUUGCAAGGUUGGUCUGACAUUUUGUAAGAUUCUUCCUUGUGGCAGUCCAAGGUUUUGGGGCAUAGGCUUCUGGAAAGGUGCUCUGAUAUUUUGCGCUGUUCUUCUUGGAGAGCCAGGUACUCGCUGUUUGAAUCCAGGUCUUUGUGGAAUCGAUGUUCUGCGAGUAAAACAGCAAUGCCAAGGGCAGUCGUACGUGCAAUGGACUCGGCAGGAAUAAGGACAGGAAACUGGAUUGACCGCGUUUGGUCGGGGUGGGGGCCUGCAGCACCGUCGCUCGCAAUGUGGAUGGCAGUACACUGAACAGGUGGGGUGACAAGGACUUGUAGACUUUUUUGCCAAUAUACGAAUACGGCAACAGACCUGGGGGCAUGAUGCCGAGCAAUGGUCCUUACACGUGAACGGACACCAUGAGUAGACGGUGGGGGCCGGCAGAGUGGGUUGGGUGACAAAAGUUGAAGGAGGUGGGCG